AGAGUUUGAUCCUGGCUCAGAAUGAACGUUGGCGGCGUGGAUUAGGCAUGCAAGUCGAGCGAGAACCGUAGCAAUACGGGGACAGCGGCGAAAGGGAGAGUAAUACGUGGAUACCUACCCUCGGGUCCGGGAUAGCUGCGGGAAACUGCAGGUAAUACCGGAUGACAUCUCCGGAUCAAAGGUGUGAUUCCGCCCGGGGAGGGGUCCGCGACCUAUUAGCUAGUUGGUGAGGUAACGGCUCACCAAGGCGAAGAUGGGUAUGGGAUGUGAGAGCAUGAUCCCACUCACUGGGACUGAGACACUGCCCAGACACCUACGGGUGGCUGCAGUCGAGAAUCUUCGGCAAUGGGCGCAAGCCUGACCGAGCGACGCCGCGUGCGAGAUGAAGGCCUUCGGGUUGUAAAUCGCUGUCAGAGGGGAGGAAAUGCCGGUGGGUUCUCCCAUCGGUUUGACCUAUCCUCAGAGGAAGGACGGGCUAAGUUCGUGCCAGCAGCCGCGGUAAUAC
rnacentral:rRNA from 1 species